rnacentral:tRNA from 1 species
GGGGAUAUUGCUCAGUUGGUAGAGUGUGCCUUGCAUGCACAAGGCCCUGUUUUCAAUCCCCAGUACCUCA